GACGAACGCUGGCGGCGCGCUUAACACAUGCAAGUCGAACGGAAAGGCCUGCUUUCCCUUGUGGAUUGCGGGUACUCGAGUGGCGAACGGGUGAGUAACACGUGAGUGAUCUGCCCCCAACUUGGGUAUAAGCCUGGGAAACUGGGUCUAAUUCCCGAUAGGACUGCAGGGUGGUGCCUGUGGUGGAAAACGAUUUUCUAGUGGUUGGGGAUGAGCUCGCGGCCUAUCAGCUUGUUGGUGGGGUAAUGGCCUACCAAGGCGGCGACGGGUAGCCGGCCUGGGAGGGUGGACGGGCACAUUGGGACUGAGAUACGGCCCAGACGCCUACGGGAGGCAGCAGUGGGGAAUAUUGCGCAAUGGGCGGAAGCCUGAUGCAGCGACGCCGCGUGGGGGAUGACGGCCUUCGGGUUGUAAACUCCUUUCGACCGCGAGGAAGCCACCUGGUUGGAAGGGUGGUGACGGUAGUGGUAGAAGAAGCACCGGCUAACUACGUG
rnacentral:rRNA from 1 species